rnacentral:rRNA from 1 species
GACGAACGCUGGCGGCGUGCUUAACACAUGCAAGUCGAACGGAAAGGCCCUGCUCUUGCGGGGUGCUCGAGUGGCGAACGGGUGAGUAACACGCGAGUAACCUGCCCUUGACUUUCGGAUAACUUCAGGAAACAGGGGCUAAUACCGGCUAGGAGCUCCUGCUGCAUGGUGGGGGUUGGUAAGUUUCGGCGGUUGGGGAUGGACUCGCGGCUUAUCAGCUUGUUGGUGGGGUAGUGGCUUACCAAGGCUUUGACGGGUAGCCGGCCUGAGAGGGUGACCGGCCACAUUGGGACUGAGAUACGGCCCAGACUCCUACGGGAGGCAGCAGUGGGGAAUAUUGCACAAUGGGCGGAAGCCUGAUGCAGCAACGCCGCGUGCGGGAUGACGGCCUUCGGGUUGUAAACCGCUUUCGCCUGUGACGAAGCGUGAGUGACGGUAAUGGGUAAAGAAGCACCGGCUAACUACGUG